ensembl:lncRNA
CAGCGGUACUUACCGGUCAAGACUUCAGAGGAAUUUGACGGAGAUGCGUUGAUGUGACGUUAGAUUUGAUUGAUGCAUUCAGGAACAUUUGGACAUUACGCUCUCAAAAUGCCGGGUUCGAUAGAAACUGUACCAAACAAACCUCAAAGCUUAAUUCCUCAGCUGUCAUAAUGCAUUUUAUUAAAUCUAUAGUUGUCCUUUAAGAGCACUCGUAUCAUCAGCGAGAUACUAUAGUUUAAGCUGAUAAAUUGACAACAAGAUAUGGUCAAUACAUGUGGUUAAUUCUUGAAAUGUGAAAAGUUGAUUAAGUAAUGUUUUCCUAAGGCAUAAUAUGAAUUCACUAAUGAUUUUUUAGUACAUAAUACGAGACUAAUUUGUGACACUAUUACCUUGUUAAAUCUAGUUUUGGAAAUAGCAACAUUAAGCUCCUACGCGGUGUAUCAGGCAAACACUUACGUCAUCAGCCAUUAUUUCCGACAUCAUCGGAGCGCUUUUGAACUCAUCACUGUCAAAAUCACUGUCAAAAAUCCAUAUAAAAAUUUCGCGGGCAAAAGUCCAUCUCGCGCAAGCAAAAGUCGGUGAUUUGCCUCAGUCCUGUGAAAGCUGACAGAGAAGUAAGUUUGUUCCUCUCUAAAUGAGAUAAGAAAAUGAAGAAUAUGAAGAAUAACUGACAUUAAUUGAGUAUUUAUAUUGUAUAACCCUAUAAGUAUAACCCUUUUUAACAAAAGAAACAAUUAAGUGACUAGAGUUGUUUAAAAUGUUUAAGCUAGCGGUUGGAUAGAUUAUCUUGGUUAGCAAAAGCGAUUUCCAAAUAGUGGUCAUCAAUUUUUUAAUGCAGUUUAGCGUUUUAGGCAAACGUAAUGCUCUCUUUAAUCCAAUAUAUAUUAACCUUAUACGUUUGUGAUAACCAUAUACUAAUGAAGCAACACAAUAUGAAAUAAAAGAAACGUUUUAGAAAAUAAUGUGUACUAACCUACUACAUAGCUUUUUCUUAAUGCUUUGUGUUUAUUUUAAUAUUUCAGAAUGGCAUUAAAGACGCUUUUGACAACAAAGCCUCCAACACCCUAUUUUCGCCCCCCGCCAAUCCACCUAUGUGUGGUGUUGGUGGUGGAGCAGCCCAGGGUGGUGGCCUGGGAGUUUGACGCAAAUGGUGCGAGACCAGCACAGACUAAAAUGAAUAUUCUGGCCGCAUUAACAGAUGGGGAUUCAGUGGCCAAGGUCACUGUAUUCGAGGAGUUUGGAAAAAGAUUUAAGGAGGGUGGCAGUUAUAAUGUGAAGGGGCUGUCUCUGAGAGGGCAGUCCCCCCCAUAUCAAUUAAACAUUACCAAGGACACGCUGUUCUUUAGGAGCGCUCCUAUAGCGCUCAGCGCAGCGCUCAAACGUGAAGCAGAGCUUCUAAUACACCCCCCCUCUCCACUGACUCCGCUGAGCACCUGCCGGGAAGCCAGGGGCCUUAUAACCGUGGAGGGCGAGGUGGUCGAGCUGUCAGCUUUAAAAGAAGUCACGACAGGGAGAGACGUCGUUCCAUUGCGGAACGUCACGAUGCAGCAGGGGGAAUCACAGAUGUCGCUGUGUUUCUGGAGGGAGGCGGCCGUAUGGCAGCUGCAGGUGGGGGCCCACAUUAAAGUUUCCCAUCUUAAAGCUGGAAGGUCUAACUAUGGGCUCAGACUCCAGUCCACAAACUUUUCCACCAUCGAGGAGGUACGCUCAGAGGACAUCGUGGGGGCACUCGGGGUGAUGGAGAUUGAGGGAGAUCCGGGGAACCUCAACCUUCUUCUGGAAGACGGCCGUACCGUCUUAAUUGAGGAGAGAUUGUGGGAGCCAAUCGAACUUGUCAUGAUUGAACCCGUGAUAAAAGUUCAAAUUAAAAUGACAGGAAACAAGGUGCAGGCGAUUGAAGUGGCGAAAAAUUAAAAUUUCUACUGUUAUAAAAUGUAUAUGUUUAUAAGAUUGUGUUCAUAAUGUAUUAGUUAUGUGUUCAUUUUGUUGUUCAUUUUGUUUUGACUUGUUACUUAUGUUCAAUUGUUUUUUUUACGCUUGUUUAUAAUUGUUAUUUGUUGCAAUAAAUAUUCAACCGUAGCAAUGUUGUCCGUUACUGUUCAUUUUGAAUGCUGUAUGUGACUUAUUUUCAGUAGAGGUUUCUUAUCCCCUUUAGCAAUGAUGGCUGGUGGAACACUUCCUAUAGGACCAUCCAAUCAAUUUCAGCAAACAUUCAAGUAUUAGUUAAUAAAAACAAUAAGGGGAAUCAAAAGCAUUAGUACCUUGCAGUUGGGUAUAAUUUAUUCCAGCACUAAAAAAGCAGUAAAUAACACUGACAUCUUAUUUCUGUCACCCUCACAGGUAAUUCAGUAUAAUAUUCAUACAUUUUAUAUUAUGUGUCCUUCAAACUAUGACGUUAUCAAUCGAUAGGCCUCAUCAAAAACAUUACAGUAAGAAUUCCCUCCAUG